rnacentral:antisense_RNA from 1 species
UGGAGAGCGCGGAGGGCCGACCUGACCCGCCGAAAGGGCCUGAGGCGAGGGGAGCCCGGGUCCCGGGGCCUUGGGGAAGGACCCGCAGCCGCACGCCGGCCCCAAGUGCAAAGCAUUGACACGACCCCGAGAGGAGAGGGGGCGCCCUCCUUCUCCCGCGCCUGGAGGCCCGGCCGCUCUGGUCCGAGCCCCAGCCUGGCCUCCGACCCAGCUCCCGGUCGUGGCGCCGCCUGGGGGUCCCUGCGCCCCGGAAAGAGACAGCAGGCACUGGAAAGCGAGGCCGGUGGGCGGGCAAGUCGGGAGGCUCGGGCGGCCGAGGUCCGGGAGCGGAUCCCAGGUGGCGGGAGCUGGUGCCCAGGCUGGAGGGACUGGCUUACGCCACCCUUUGCAGGAUCAUCUUCUUAGCUUACAGAGCCUGGUGUGAUUCCACAACCCUCCACCUCUGCCCCCAACAUGCCCAACUGAUCUGGUGGAGGGAACUGAAGAUGAAGGCCUCUCAGGCACCAUGGAUGGGAUGGGUGUGUGUGAAGGGGGCAGGGUCCCCAGCAGCUGCCCCAGGUCUGACUGGACAGUUGCAUGGGAAGGCCUGUUUGUGAACUCAACUUUUCUAUGGCUGUUCCAUUAAACUUUGCCCCAAACC